AUACGUAGGGGGCGAGCGUUGUCCGGAUUUACUGGGUGUAAAGGGCGUGUAGGCGGAGAUGCAAGUCAGGAGUGAAAUCUAGGGGCUCAACCCCUAAACUGCUUUUGAAACUGUAUCCCUUGAGUAUCGGAGAGGCAGGCGGAAUUCCUAGUGUAGCGGUGAAAUGCGUAGAUAUUAGGAGGAACACCGGUGGCGAAGGCGGCCUGCUGGACGACAACUGACGCUGAGGCGCGAAAGCGUGGGGAGCAAACAGGAUUAGAUACCCUGGUAGUCCACGCGGUAAACGAUGAAUGCUAGGUGUUGCGGGUAUCGACCCCUGCAGUGCCGGAGUAAACACAAUAAGCAUUCCGCCUGGGGAGUACGGCCGCAAGGUUGAAACUCAAAUGAAUUGGCGGGG
rnacentral:rRNA from 1 species